GGCUCAGGACGAACGCUGGCGGCGUGCUUAACACAUGCAAGUCGAACGGAAAGGCCCUGCUUUUGUGGGGUGCUCGAGUGGCGAACGGGUGAGUAACACGUGAGUAACCUGCCCUUGACUUUGGGAUAACUUCAGGAAACUGGGGCUAAUACCGGAUAGGAGCUCCUGCUGCAUGGUGGGGGUUGGAAAGUUUCGGCGGUUGGGGAUGGACUCGCGGCUUAUCAGCUUGUUGGUGGGGUAGUGGCUUACCAAGGCUUUGACGGGUAGCCGGCCUGAGAGGGUGACCGGCCACAUUGGGACUGAGAUACGGCCCAGACUCCUACGGGAGGCAGCAGUGGGGAAUAUUGCACAAUGGGCGGAAGCCUGAUGCAGCAACGCCGCGUGCGGGAUGACGGCCUUCGGGUUGUAAACCGCUUUCGCCUGUGACGAAGCGUGAGUGACGGUAAUGGGUAAAGAAGCACCGGCUAACUACGUGCCAGCAGCCGCGGUGAUACGUAGGGUGCGAGCGUUGUCCGGAUUUAUUGGGCGUAAAGGGCUCGUAGGUGGUUGAUCGCGUCGGAAGUGUAAUCUUGGGGCUUAACCCUGAGCGUGCUCG
rnacentral:rRNA from 1 species